AAUGUGCAGUGAAGCGGUGAAAUGCAUAGAGAUUGCACAGAACACCGAUUGCGAAGGCAGCUUACUAAUCCACGACUGACGCUGAGGCACGAAAGCGUGGGGAGCGAACAGGAUUAGAUACCUGGGUAGUCCACGCCGUAAACGAUGUUCACUCGCUGUUGCGAUAUACAGUAAGCGGCUUAGCGAAAGCAUUAAGUGAACCACCUGGGGAGUACGAUCGCAAGGUUGAAACUCAAAGGAAUUGACGGGGGCCCGCACAAGCGGAGGAACAUGUGGUUUAAUUCGAUGAUACGCGAGGAACCUUACCUGGGCUUAAAUGCAGAGUGCAUGCGGUGGAAACACCCUUCCCUUCGGGGCUCUCUGCAAGGUGCUGCAUGGUUGUCGUCAGCUCGUGCCGUGAGGUGUCGGGUUAAGUCCCAUAACGAGCGCAACCCUUACCGUUAGUUGCCAACAGGUCAAGCUGGGGACUCUAGCGGGACUGCCACCGUAAGGUGAGAGGAAGGUGGGGAUGACGUCAAAUCAGCACGGCCCUUAUGUCCAGGGCUACACACGUGUUACAAUGGCCGGUACAGAGGGCAGCUACCCCGCGAGGGGAUGCCAAUCCUAAAAGCCGGUCCCAGUUCGGAUUGGAGUCUGCAACCCGACUCCAUGAAGUUGGAUUCGCUAGUAAUCGCGCAUCAGCCAUGGCGCGGUGAAUACGUUCCCGGGCCUUGUACACACCGCCCGUCAAACCAUGGGAGCUGGGGGUGCCUGAAGUCUGUGACCGAGAGGAGCGGCCUAGGGUAAAACCAGUGACUGGGGUUAAGUCGUAACAAGGUAGCCGUA
rnacentral:rRNA from 1 species